UACAGUCAACUAGGAAAAAAACCUAUACUUUUUUUUGACACAAGUAUAGGUUUUUUUCCUCUAUUGUAU
rnacentral:tRNA from 1 species